CCCCCCGUCUCGUCUUUCCUCCAAGCUAUACAUGUUAAGAUCCUUUAACCUUUCCUGGUAAGUUUUAUCCCGCAAUCCAUGAACCAGUUUAGUAGCCCUUCUCUGAACCCUCUCUAAGGUAUCAAUAUCCUUCUGAAGAUACGUUCUCCAGUACUGCGUACAAUACUCCAAGUGAGGUCUCACCAGUGUUCUGUACAAUGACAUGAGCACUUCCCUCUUUCUACUGCCAAU